AAGAAGAAGAAGACGACGCCGCCGCGUCACAUGGCGAAACCAGAGAUUCAAUACCAUGUGAGCUGUGUGGGUUGAGGGCUUCGCUGUAUUGCCU